rnacentral:rRNA from 1 species
CCUACGGGUGGCAGCAGUGGGGAAUAUUGGGCAAUGGGCGCAAGCCUGACCCAGCAACGCCGCGUGAAGGAAGAAGGCUUUCGGGUUGUAAACUUCUUUUCUGAGGGACGAAGAAAGUGACGGUACCUCAGGACUAAGCCACGGCUAACUACUUGCCAGCAGCCGCGGUAAUACGUAGGUGGCAAGCGUUAUCCGGAUUUAUUGGGUGUAAAGGGCGUGUAGGGGGGAAAGCAAGUCAGAUGUGAAAACUCAGGGCUCAACCCUGAGCCUGCAUUUGAAACUGUUUUUCUUGAGUACUGGAGAGGCAGUCGGAAUUCCGAGUGUAGCGGUGAAAUGCGUAGAUAUAAGGAGGAACACCAGUGGCGAAGGCGGAUUGCUGGACAGUAACUGACGGUGAGGCGCGAAAGCGUGGGGAGCAAACAGGAUUAGAUACCCUAGUAGUC